GCGAAGGUGGUUGGUAGCGCAACUGGUUUGGGACCAGUGGGUCGGAGGUUCGAAUCCUCUCUCGCC
rnacentral:tRNA from 1 species